AAAAAAGAAAAAUCUGGCAAGCCCUCUUCAGUUCUGAAGGACAAAGAACCUGAAACUAAAAAAGAUGAAAAGAUGUCCAAACCAGGCAAAGAAGUCAAGCCUAAACCUCCAC